rnacentral:rRNA from 1 species
GACAGAGGUGCCAAGCGUUAGGCGGAAUCACUGGGCUUAAAGCGUGUGUAGGCGGAUGCCUAAGUACCUUGUGAAAUCCCACGGCUCAACCGUGGAACUGCUUGGUAUACUGGGUGUCUUGAGCCACUUAGGGGUUACCGGAACAAACGGUGGAGCGGUGAAAUGCGUAGAUAUCGUUUGGAACGCCAAUGGUGAAAACAGGUAACUGGGAGUGCGCUGACGCUGACACGAAAGUCAGGGGAGCGAACGGG